rnacentral:rRNA from 1 species
UACGUAGGCAGCGAGCGUUGUUCGGAGUUACUGGGCGUAAAGGGUGUGUAGGCGGUUGUUUUAAGUUUGGUGUGAAAUCUCCCGGCUCAACUGGGAGGGUGCGCCGAAUACUGAAUGACUUCGAGUGCGGGAGAGGAAAGUGGAAUUCCUGGUGUAGCGGUGAAAUGCGUAGAUAUCAGGAGGAACACCGGUGGUGUAGACGGCUUUCUGGACCGUAACUGACGCUGAGACACGAAAGCGUGGGGUAGCAAACAGG